GGCUUGGCUAGACCGCGUAUAUGGGAAAAAGAAACACGGGGCAGCUUCCAAAACUCACAGAAAUGCUCGGAUUACGCGUUGGGCAAGAAAAAUCCCAAAGAUCUCGGGGUUGGUUCCAACCAGCUCGAGUCCUGCAUGAGCCCGUUGAGAGGACGAAGGAAAGGAGGGAGGAAAACGCUGACGAUUGGGUCCCAUCAGCCAUUGACCGGUGGCGCGGGACCGGACUGUCAGUCAGAGGAAAGGAGGAGAGGGGAGAGCGCAUGCGACCUGGGCCCUAGGCCGUCCUGCUGGGCUGGUCCGAGGGAGAAGAAUAGGGGAGUGAGGAGAGGGCCUUCAGCCAAAAGCAGUGGAGGGAGAGUUUUCGUUUUUUCUUUUGUUUUUUUCUUUAAUUCAAAAGCUAUUCCAAAACCAUUUUAAAAUCUAUUUGAAAUAUUUUUGAACUUUAGUCAAACCACUCAUGUCAACAAAAUUAAUGCACAAGCAUGAAUGCACAACAAGUUGCUAAGCCUUAUGAUAAAUUUUAUUUUAAAGAAAAUAUUAUUUUCCUAUAUUUUCAUGAGGACAA
rnacentral:lncRNA from 1 species